CUACGGGUCGCUGCAGUGGGGAAUAUUGCACAAUGGAGGAAACUCUGAUGCAGCAACGCCGCGUGGAGGAUGACACUUUUCGGAGCGUAAACUCCUUUUAUAUAGGAAGAAGAUGACGGUACUAUAUGAAUAAGCGCCGGCUAACUCCGUGCCAGCAGCCGCGGUAAUACGGAGGGCGCAAGCGUUACUCGGAAUCACUGGGCGUAAAGAGCGUGUAGGCGGAUUAAAAAGUCAGAAGUGAAAUCCUAUAGCUUAACUAUAGAACUGCUUCUGAAACUCUUAAUCUAGAAUAUGGGAGAGGUAGAUGGAAUUUCUGGUGUAGGGGUAAAAUCUGUAGAGAUCAGAAGGAAUACCGAUUGCGAAGGCGAUCUACUAGAACAUUAUUGACGCUGAGACGCGAAAGCGUGGGGAGCAAACAGGAUUAGAUACCCUGGUAGUC
rnacentral:rRNA from 1 species